UAUAAUAUAUUUAGUAUACGAUUUGACGUGACAGUCGUAGGUUUUUGUAACCCACUGUUAAUCAUUACUGUGGUAGGCAAUGCAAAUAUAUUAAAAAAAAAAUCUAAAGAAAAAUGAUGCAAUAUUGGCAGGGAAAAAACAAAUGGGAAUAUACGAAGAAAUAGAAAAAUAUCCGAACGUGCAAUACACUGCUGGGGAUUCCGGUCAAAAUUCAUUGAGAGUCGUUCAGUGGAUAUUGAAAACCGAUGAAACUAUACUGAUGACCAAUUAAAAAUACCAGAAAAUCAAAAUUUUAUUCAAAACGCAAAGUUUUACUUUGUGACUGGAUUUAUCUUAGUAUCGCAUUUAAACACGGUUGAAAAAAUCGCAAGAAUCGCCGAUAAAAGGAAUUGUCCAUUAUUGUUCAACAUGAGUGCAG